UUCGGUAUCCGUGGUCUUGGCAUAGGUUUGUUUGAGAAAUAGUAGUUAUUUAUGAAUUAUUUAAAAGAAUCAUUAGUGAUCCACAGUGUGUUAGGAAUGUAGGACCUUGAAAUAACAUAUUUAACAUAUUAGCAGAUAUACACACAAAUACUGCUGAUGUUGCUGUGGACUUUGUGCAGUGCCAUCUGCAGCUCUUGUUUAGAGCAGAAUUAUUGCGGCAGCACCUGUAAGUGGAUUUAGUGACCGACUGAAGAUUACAGAAACAGGAACAUGUCAUCGAUUCUAUCCUGACACCAAAACCAAGGUAAGCUUUAAUUCCUUAUUUCUAUGUUAAAACAAAUCCCUGCCCUGCAUAUUAAAUGCCCCAAUAUCCGAUAAUUGAAUGCAUGAACCAAAUACGUAUUCCCCACACCCAUUCACCAAGCAGGUGCCUCAGCCUGGGGCCCGCAGCAAUCGCUAUGUGGGUAAUGCGAAGUAAUUAAUUAAGAGAAUUUCAAAAUCAAUAGCAGCGGACAGCAAAUUUGUCGGACGCAUGUGAUGUGUGAAAAUUUUAGUGGCGCGCUGAUGAAACACAAAUAAAGGGAUCAAUGUGUAAAAUAACUAGCCUGCAAUUUACAUACGCAGCCUUAUAUAUUUGCAAUCGCAUAUAUUUGAGCACACGCACUGUCGAUGACCACUCGUCACUCGCCACUACACUAGCCAGUGGGCAAAUACUGCAUGCGGCAAUGCAUUCAGCAGCGGUGAAUUGAAACACAACUGCUCUGCUCUCAACGGCUGCUGCUCCGCUUGUAGUUUACAUCUUUGUUUGUUUUCUUAUUGAAUUUUCCUGUUUACAUCUCUGUACGCAUACGCAACAUUUGCCGAGGCAUACACCGUAAUCAAUAUGUUCGAUUCGGAGUGAUGCAUUGACAAAUACAAUGCCAGCUCAAUUUCACCGCCAAAGCACAUAUGUAUUAUACUUACAAUCAGAUAUAUGUAUAGUUGUGUGCAUUUGCAUAAUGCAAGUAUAAUGGAUGGUUACCCAGUGAGCAA